rnacentral:rRNA from 1 species
GGGGAAUAUUGCGCAAUGGGGGAAACCCUGACGCAGCGACGCCGCGUGGAGGAAGAAGGCCUUUGGGUUGUAAACUCCUUUGAUCGGGGACGAAGAUGACGGUACCCGAAGAACAAGCCACGGCUAACUACGUGCCAGCAGCCGCGGUAAUACGUAGGUGGCGAGCGUUGUCCGGAAUUACUGGGUGUAAAGGGCGUGUAGGCGGGGUGCCAAGUCAGGUGUGAAAUACCGGGGCUUAACCUCGGGGGUGCAUCUGAAACUGGUGCUCUUGAGUGCCGGAGAGGAAAGCGGAAUUCCCAGUGUAGCGGUGAAAUGCGUAGAUAUUGGGAGGAACACCAGUGGCGAAGGCGGCUUUCUGGACGGUAACUGACGCUGAGGCGCGAAAGCGUGGGGAGCAAACAGGA